CGAGUGAGAACGUGGUUUUUCUUCUCCAUUCCCGCCCAAACCACUACCCCCGCCUCUUUUCUCUCUACCAACGAAACCCUAGCUCCCCUCCCUCCACUGCUUGCAACCCUCUUCCCGGCGGCCAGAGAUCUCACUGGCGAUAAUAGACACCGGCGACUCACACCAGGUAAAUCUCUCCUAAAAUGGUUGAACACAAGGGUUUGAAAAACCGGUCUCUCAUGCUGGGGUUUUUCCUUUUCAUCUGAGUAAUUUCACCGGCGAUUAUUAUCGGAAGCUUACUAUCACCGGAAACCACGACCAGGUCUAGGAAAUGGAGGAUACCCCACAACCCAGAAGGUUGGCUUUUGAACCAGAUGGAGAUAUAGGUCAAUCAUCGAACCCUUCACCUAAUACAUGUGAAAUGGAUGGUACUAACACUACCAACAAUGAGAAUGGGAUAAAACCUUCAUCCAGCAUAGUUGAACCAUCCACAGCUAGUGAUCGUUUACCUACAGUUGAAGAGGGUAAAUCCGUUGAUACAACCAUACAAAAUAAACUCAAGGAAAAGUUAAACCUCGUUCCUGAAGAGUGGACUCCGAAGGUUGGCAUGAUAUUUCAAACAGUAGAUGAAGCGUAUGAGUUUUAUAAUACAUAUGCUGGGCAUGUAGGAUUUAGUAUUCGAAAAGAAAGUAGAAUAUUUGACAAGCGGGCUAACCAGAUAAGGUAUAGCAAGUUUUGUUGCUCUAAAGAGGGGAGGCGAGCUGUAGAUAAGCGUAGAAUCAAUUCCAAGAAUCGCCGACCAGAGACAAGAUGUGGUUGUAUGGCAACUAUGAAGAUAAGUCGUGUGAAGGAUGGCUAUCGCGUUAUUGAUUUCAAUGAGAAUCAUAAUCAUAUGAUUGCUACUCCUAUCAAGCCACAUGCAUUGAGCUCUCAAAGAAGGAUCAUUGGGGUACACGGUACUCAAGCUGAAAUGGCAGAUAAUCCAAGAAUAACUCCAAAAGCAGUGUUGGAGUUGAAGGCCAAUGAAGUUGGUGGUCGUGAAAAUGUUGAGUUCACUUGCAUAGAUUUAAACAAUUAUUUGCGUUCAUACCGGACUAGGAAUAUGGAGAAGGGCGAGGCAGGUGGCAUUCUACAAUAUUUUGAAGAUAGACAGUCUCAAGAUCCAUCAUUUGUAUAUGCAAUACAACUUGACCAAGCUGAGCUAGUCACAAAUCUGUUUUGGGCAGAUGCACAAAUGAUAGUGGAUUAUGCUCAUUUCGGUGAUGUUGUUAGUUUUGACACAACAUAUAGAACAAACAAGAAGAAUAGGCCAUUUGCAGUAUUUGUAGGGGUGAAUAAUUAUAGGCAAACAAUAAUAUUUGGUGCUGCAUUAUUGUAUGAUGAAACCGUAGAUUCAUUUGAAUGGCUGUUUAAGGUGUUUCUCAAAACAAUGGGUGGUAAAAAGCCAAAUACAAUUCUAACUGGUGAUGAUGCAACUAUAGAAAAAGCGAUCAAUUUGGUAUUUCCAGAAUCACACCAUCGGUUGUGUGUUUGGCAUAUGUUCCAGAAUGCUACGAAACACCUUAGUGGGGUAUUUGAGAAGUUCAGUUCAUUUUCUCAAGAUUUUCGAAGUUGUGUGUAUGAUUUUGAUGAUGUUGAUGAAUUUGAAAAUGCAUGGAAUGACAUGAUCAAUAAGUAUGGACUUCAAGAUAAUGAUUGGUUGCAAACAUUGUAUGGUAAAAGGCACAAAUGGGCACUUGUAUAUGGACGACAAACAUUUUCUGCUGGCACGAACACAACACAGAGAAGCGAGAGUUUGAACAGUGGCCUCAAGAAAUAUCUCAAUAUCAAGUAUGAUUUGUCAAGCUUUCUUCAACACUUUGAGAAAGUGGUUGCUGAUAAGCGGUAUGAAGAAUUAAAAGCCGAAUUUGCAACAACACAAAGCACCCCAAUCAUAGCAGCACAUGUGGGAAUAUUAGAUUAUGCUUCUCAUGUGUAUACACCCCCUAUUUUUUCAAUGUUUCAGAAUGAGGUGUUGCAACAAUUGGACUGCAGAAUUGAAGAAGAUCAUGUUGUUUCUGAAACAAUAGCUGAAUAUACAGUUGGAUUGUAUGGGACAAAUCGUCGAUUCAAAGUCACAUUUGAUUCAAGAAAUAAUUCAGUUAGUUGCAGUUGUAAGAACUUUGAAUUUGUUGGGAUCUUGUGUAGGCAUGCACUGAAGAUACUUGAUUAUAGACGUGUGGAUAUCAUACCCCCAUGCUAUGUAUUGAAAAGGUGGACUAUUGGUGCAAGAAAGUCUAGGAGCGAAGCAUCUCAUGAUUCUAAUCAGUGUUCUGAUCAAGCUACAAAGAUAGCAACACAUAGGAAAGAGUUGUUUCAUUUGCUCACCCAAGUAGUAAAUAAGGCUGCACUUAGUGAUGAUGUGUAUAAGAUGGUUAUGCAAGCGGGAGAGAAGCUUUUGGAAGAUGUGACAGGUUGUUUAAAGCAGGCAUCAAUAGAACAGUCAUCUGUAGCAUCUGAUGGAAAGAUGGGCUAAAGAGCCUUUCCAAACUCACAGGAGGGAUUCACUUGCAACCAAAAAGAGAGCAGAACCAUUUCCAAACACAACAAACAAAGGGGCGGGAGGUUAAGAGGUUCUUCAGCCAGAAAUUUUUUCCAAUGUUGGCUUCUGAAUUUUGCAUCCCCACUUUAAAGAUAUUGGGUUUGUGCAGAACUGCAGAUGGGGAUUCAUCUCCAUACAGAGGUAUGUCUGGUUGUGAAAUGCAUUUGAAUCCCGAGGCUUAAACAGUGCUGCAAAUGCGGGGUUAUGUACUAAAUCUUCUUUUCCAAGUAAGAAAAGCUUAGAUUUUUUUUUUAACUAGAAGGUUUAAAAGUUAUUUUCAGAAAAUGUAAGUAAAUUAAAUUCCUUAAAAUUGCUAUCUAGGCACUAUCUUUACACAUUCCUCCUGGAUUUACUCUUAUAUAAAAUAAUGUAGUUUAUGGGAGGAAAAACUUUCUAUUAAGUGCCUAGAGCUUCCAAAUGCAUAUGUCCUAAUCAUGGACAAGUUGGUAAUACCAUAUCUAUCUGGUGUUUCUAAUAAGAAAACAUUCCAGUCAA